rnacentral:rRNA from 1 species
AACGUAGGUGGCAAGCGUUAUCCGGAAUUACUGGGCGUAAAGGUGCGCAGGCCGCGCGGGCAGUCAAAUGUGUAAUUCAGGGGCUUAACCCCUGCACUGCGCUUGAUACUUCCGCGCUCGAGCUUUGGAGAGGAGUCUGGAAUUCUCCGGUGUAGCAGUGAAAUGCGUGGAUAGUCGAGAAGAACGACUUAGGGCGUAGGCAAGACUCUGGACAAAUGCUGACGCUCAUGCACGAAGGCUAGG